rnacentral:rRNA from 1 species
AUGGAUCAGGAGCUGAUCGAGCACCUUGAGGCCAAAGUGAGUGCUGACAGCGCGAGAUCUCACCCUCUCAUCAAUUUGUUCAUACCAACCAUCGACAGCGAGCACGGCAUAUGCUACACCCAACCUGAGAAACUUCCAAGUAUCACACUGAGUGGUCUAAGGAAUCAUUUCUUCCAGCGCAAUUCCAGGGCGUUCAAACGGGGCACGUGGACGCGUCGCAAGAUACAGUCAGAGUGCGGCAUGCACACGAUGUGGCACAAGACCGGCAAUACGCUGCCGAUGAUGGCCAAUGGCUAG